ensembl:lincRNA 4930598A11Rik RIKEN cDNA 4930598A11 gene
AGGGGGUCACUUCCGAAAAACCACUGAUAACAUAUUUAUUUGGGCACAAGGAUGUCUGGAGGAAGUAAAAAGCACAGAGUACUUAGAGUAUUUGUGUCUCCCUUUCCUUUAGAACCCUGUCAAGGGAAGGGGCUGAUUCUUGCCACCUAGCCCCCCAAAAAAACAAUACCAGGCCACACUCGAUACAAGGUGCUUGAUUAACUUCCCUGUUACCAGCAACCCCAGAAAACCACUAGUAUCUUAUAAAAUGAUAAGAGCAAAGCUAAGCAGUUAAAAACUCAGGUUGACUAAUAUAUUUUGAAUGUUCAAAUGCAUGCACUCAUAGCCAGCAGCACAAGGUCCCGAGCCCCCUGACACCUGGUGAUUUUAAAUCCCAUCAAGUUGGCAAUUAAGAUAAACCAUUACAAGACUUCAUGAAAUUAAGCCUCUGAGAGACAGGAGAAACAAGUGAAAAGCAGCUCCUGCUCCGGCUCAUGCUUCUCUCUGUCUUCUACUUAUGGUUCCAGAUGGGGCUUCAGCUACUUCUUCAGCAUCAUGCCUGCCUGCCUUCCUGCCAUCGUGUUCCCCACCAUGAUGAAAACAGAUUUGUCUUUGAAACUUGUCCCCAAUUAAAUGCUUUACAAUAU